rnacentral:rRNA from 1 species
CCGGUUGAUCUCUUUUCAAAAUUCGAUGAGCACGUAGCGAAGCGUGCCAAGCAAUAUGAAAAUGACAAAGAGAGUGAAGACCGUAUCCUUGAACU